rnacentral:rRNA from 1 species
UAUACAGCGAAACUGCGAAUGGCUCAUUAUAUAAGUUAUCGUUUAUUUGAUAGUACCUUACUACUUGGAUAACCGUGGUAAUUCUAGAGCUAAUACAUGCUAAAAAUCCCGACUCCGGAAGGGAUGUAUUUAUUAGAUUAAAAACCAAUGCCCUCUGGGCUCCUUGGUGAUUCACAAUAACUUUUCGAAUCGCACGGCCUUGCGCCGGCGAUGGUUCAUUCAAAUUUCUUCCCUAUCAACUUUCGAUGUUUGGGUAUUGGCCAAACAUGGUCGCAACGGGUAACGGAGGGUUAGGGCUCGACCCCGGAGAAGGAGCCUGAGAAACGGCUACUACAUCCAAGGAAGGCAGCAGGCGCGCAAAUUACCCAAUCCCGAUUCGGGGAGGUAGUGACAAUAAAUACUGAUACAGGGCUCUUUUGGGUCUUGUAAUUGGAAUGAGUACAAUUUAAAUCCCUUAACGAGGAACAAUUGGAGGGCAAGUCUGGUGCCAGCAGCCGCGGUAAUUCCAGCUCCAAUAGCGUAUAUUAAAGUUGUUGUGGUUAAAAAGCUCGUAGUUGAACCUUGGGCCUGGCUGGCCGGUCCGCCUCACCGCGUGCACUGGUCCGGCCGGGCCUUUCCCUCUGUGGAACCCCAUGCCCUUCACUGGGUGUGGCGGGGAAACAGGACUUUUACUUUGAAAAAAUUAGAGUGCUCCAGGCAGGCCUAUGCUCGAAUACAUUAGCAUGGAAUAAUAAAAUAGGACGCGUGGUUCUAUUUUGUUGGUUUCUAGGACCGCCGUAAUGAUUAAUAGGGACAGUCGGGGGCAUCAGUAUUCAAUUGUCAGAGGUGAAAUUCUUGGAUUUAUUGAAGACUAACUACUGCGAAAGCAUUUGCCAAGGAUGUUUUCAUUAAUCAGGAACGAAAGUUAGGGGAUCGAAGACGAUCAGAUACCGUCGUAGUCUUAACCAUAAACUAUGCCGACUAGGGAUCGGACGAUGUUAUUUUUU